CCUACGGGUGGCUGCAGUGAGGAAUAUUGGUCAAUGGGCGCGAGCCUGAACCAGCCAAGUAGCGUGAAGGAUGACUGCCCUACGGGUUGUAAACUUCUUUUAUAAAGGAAUAAAGUGAGGCACGUGUGCCUUUUUGUAUGUAUUUUAUGAAUAAGGCUCGGCUAACUCCGUGCCAGCCGCCGCGGUAAUAGGGAGGAUCCGAGCGUUAACCGGAUUUAUUGGGGUUAAAGGGAGCGUAGAUGGGUUGUUAAGUCAGUGGUGAAAGUGUGCGGCUCAACCGUAAAAUUGCAAUUGAUACUGGCAGCCUUGAGUACAGUUGAGGUAGGCGGAAUUCGUGGUGUAGCGGUGAAAUGCUUAGAUAUCACGAAGAACUCCGAUUGCGAAGGCAGCCUACUAAACUGCCACUGACAUUGAGGCUCGAAAGUGUGGGUAGCAAACAGGAUUAGAUACCCGAGUAGUC
rnacentral:rRNA from 1 species